rnacentral:tRNA from 1 species
ACCUGGGUGGCUUAGUCGGUUAAGCACCUGACUUCGGGUCAGGUCAUAAUCUCGCAUUUGUGAGUUCCAGCCCCACAUCAGGCU